AAUUUUCUACUAAGGUUAUGUAGUAUCUUUAUAAAGAGAAAAAGAAGUAUUUUUAACUUUUAGGAAAUUCUUUUGACUUCUGGAUUUUUUUCCAGUAUUUUGAAGUGUUUCCUCAGAAAAGAUUCGCAGAAGUAAUAUUAGUUCAAGAGGACAUUGUGAGAAUGACAUAACACCCAUGUAAAAGAACCUAAUCUAGUGCCUGGGACGUGGCAGAUGCUCAAAAGUUGGAUCUUAAAUGGAUGAACUGUCAAGUCAUCAAAACAGGGAUUCACUUAAAGAACAUAGUGUUCUGCCUUCUAGAUAAGAUGCAUUCGAUCCACUUAGCUGAAUUGUGAAACUGCAAGAUAAAGGAUAAAGAGCGCUGAACUGGGCCUCCAUAAAAGUGAACCACAGAUUUGCUCAUGAGCUGUGUGACUUUGGACCAAUCACAUUCUCUGGGCCUGUGGCCCAUAACUGAUGAGUCAUGAACAUUUAUCUGUAUGUCUGUCAUCUCCAUUAGAAUAUGUUCAUAUAGGAUUAUAUGUAUCUUGAAGA